rnacentral:lncRNA from 1 species
GAUUGGAGAAGCAAAACAAUUGUGGCAAAGAAAUCAAGGAGUAUUCAAGACAGUAAAGACUCAUCAGAGGGUUGAAGGGUGGCUUUACUGGAGAAGUUUGAGGAAACCAGCAGCAGAAUCAGUCACUUGACAAGAACACGUUGACUGCUACUUCUUAGCUAGCAAAAAAAAGUCCAAUAAUCAUUGGAAUAUAGCUUCACUUCCAGCUAAUGACCUUCGGUGCCACCAAGAGCUUAAGAGGUGAAAUGUCUCAGUAUUUCCUCGUUCUUUCUGCUGCCCUCUUUGUUUUUAGAGAGAAAUGCAGAAAGGGCAAAGACAGACCUUUGUAGCUGCUUUGCCUGCUCCAAAAGAAGAGGUGCUGAGUUCUAAUUGCAUUAUGUGGAAUUCUGAUGAGACUGGUUUGUCUUGUCCAAAGAGUUAUCCCAAUCUGAUUUACUCUGAACUUUGAUUGCUCCAAUAUUAUUGUAAGAUGCAAUGUCUUGGUAAGUUAAUGACUGACUGGACUACUAGGUGGAUCCCAGAAAGAAAGAGCCUGAUGAGUUUUUGCAACUCUCUGGCUCAAAGAGAUCUCCUACGCAAUUCAAGAGUGUCAGACUUCUCCAGUGGCUUUGUGCAGAACCCAUGUUCUUGAACGGACCAAGGUUGUCUACAGUUUUGAGUUAACCAAAGUAUAUGAGCUCUUCUCCCUCAUAUAUUCCUGGUAGAUUUCUGUAAGCAUAGAACCAUUCUCCUUCACAGAAACUGGAUGCACUUAUGGGUGAGUAUGACCUAGGCAUGGAUUUUAAUGAAUUAAUUAUUCCUGAGCUUAUUUACUAUGUGAGUAGCUGCAUUGUUAUUCCUUUUGCCUGAGUGCUAAGUAAAUGAUAUCUUUUUAAAGUUCUAAGUGUCAUCAUUGUGAGGGGCUAGUUUGUGUUAAUGGAAAUUGGAGUUUGAGUUAAAGUGGUGAGGAAGGUGAGGUACUCCCAAACCAAGGGGGUACCUACCCCUAGAGAACACAAGGGACUAUGAGUGUAACAAGAAAUAAUGAUGCUUCUCUGAGAAUCUAGACAACAUAACAUAAAAGGAAAGCUGAGUAGAGAGAGCAGGUCCAGAGAAUGAUCAGGUGAGAGUGAUGAUUAUAUAGAGCCCAUA